rnacentral:lncRNA from 1 species
UCUAAAAGAAUUCUAACGCUAUUAUUGAUAAAAAUAUGUUAUAUUAACUAUAUUUUCUUUUAAUUUCCGUGAUUAUAUCCAAUUUCAUCUGUAAAAGUUGAAUUGUCCCAGUCUCGAGCCAGGUGGUGGUGGGACUCGAGCUGGUUCCAGGGCCAUGUGAACUUUAGCAUCGGACCAGACCUUAUCUGUUCACGGAUGGGUCCCCCGGC